UAACAUUUUGGUCUCUGCUGUUA
rnacentral:piRNA from 1 species